rnacentral:lncRNA from 1 species
AUGAAUAGAAAAUAUUAUUUAAAAAGUGUCUAAUCUUGUAAUUAGAAUAAUAUUCCAAAAGUGUCUCUUACCAUUCUUAAUAUUUGUAGUCAUUCUCAAAGUAGUAAAAUCUGCACACUUACAAGGGGAUGUUCCACCGUGAAAUGAAAAGCUCUGAUUUUACAUCCCCACACCACAACAUGUAGAAACAACACACAAAGGUAAAAUACAACCUUAAGAUAUUGAGACACAUUAUAUUUUCUCCCUUUAAAAGACACAAAUUAUGUUUUCUCUCCUCAAAUUGCACUUUUUCAUUACAGCGGCCCAAGUUUAGCUUUGCCUCCAAAAAGAAACUUC